rnacentral:rRNA from 1 species
CGAAGGGGCAAGCGUUGUUCGGAAUUACUGGGCGUAAAGGGAGUGUAGGCGGUUAUGUAAGAUAGCGGUGAAAUGCCGGGGCUCAACCUCGGAAUUGCCGUUAUAACUAUGUAACUAGAAUGAUAGAGAGGAUAGCGGAAUACCCAGUGUAGAGGUGAAAUUCGUAGAUAUUGGGUAGAACACCGGUGGCGAAGGCGGCUAUCUGGCUAUAAAUUGACGCUGAGGCUCGAAAGCAUGGGGAUCAAACAGGAUU